rnacentral:misc_RNA from 1 species
UUUCCGUAGGUGAACCUGCGGAAGGAUCAUUAACAAAUCCAUGUUGUUGUUGUUAUGAUUGUUUUUGUUGAUCUGCUUGCCAUGUUUGUUCACUCUGUUCAAAUGCGUGUGUACAUUAAUGAUGUAUUCAUUACAAGCCUACAUUAGUUCCAUAUGUUUACAUAUUAGUUCGGUGGCUUUGUGUACGCAUUGUGUGAUACAUUUCUACGAAUCGUCUGAUUUCUUGAUUUCGAAUCAUAUUAGGCAAUAACUUUCAACAAUGGAUCUCUUGGCUCUU